rnacentral:rRNA from 1 species
GCCUGCCCAGUGACUCUUUAAACGGCCGCGGUAUCCUAACCGUGCAAAGGUAGCAUAAUCACUUGUCCCUUAAAUCGGGACUAGAAUGAACGGCUAAAUGAGGACUAAACUGUCUCUUAUAGGCUAGCCAAUGAAAUUGAUUUUCCAGUACAAAAGCUGGAAUAUAACCACAAGACGAGAAGACCCUGUGGAGCUUAAAAACCAAAUUCACCAAACAUGUCUCAUCGGUUUUUAGUUGGGGCGACUUCGGAGUACAAAAUAACCUCCAAACAUAAAACUAAUUAAGAACAACACAUCAAAAUACAUUUAUAACGACCCAGCAACCCUGUGGUUGUCUGAUUAAUGAACCAAGUUACCCCAGGGAUAACAGCGCCAUCCCCUUCUAGAGUCCCUAUCGACAAGGGGGUUUACGACCUCGAUGUUGGAUCAGGACACCCCAAUGGUGCAGCCGCCAUUAACGGUUCGUUUGUUCAACGAUUAAAGUCCAACGUGAU